GCAAUGCUUAGGAAUCUGCCUAUUAGUGGGGGACAACAUUCCGAAAGGAAUGCUAAUACCGCAUACGUCCUACGGGGGAAAGCAGGGGAUCUUUGGACCUUGCGCUAAUAGAUGAGCCUAAGUCGGAUUAGCUAGUUGGUGGGGUAAAGGCCUACCAAGGCGACGAUCUGUAGCGGGUCUGAGAGGAUGAUCCGCCACACUGGGACUGAGACACGGCCCAGACUCCUACGGGAGGCAGCAGUGGGGAAUAUUGGACAAUGGGCGCAAGCCUGAUCCAGCCAUGCCGCGUGUGUGAAGAAGGCCUUUUGGUUGUAAAGCACUUUAAGCGAGGAGGAGGCUCCUUUAGUUAAUACCUAAAGUGGGUGGACGUUACUCGCAGAAUAAGCACCGGCUAACUCUGUGCCAGCAGCCGCGGUAAUACAGAGGGUGCGAGCGUUAAUCGGAUUUACUGGGCGUAAAGCGUGCGUAGGCGGCUUUUUAAGUCGGAUGUGAAAUCCCUGAGCUUAACUUAGGAAUUGCAUUCGAUACUGGAGAGCUAGAGUAUGGGAGAGGAUGGUAGAAUUCCAGGUGUAGCGGUGAAAUGCGUAGAGAUCUGGAGGAAUACCGAUGGCGAAGGCAGCCAUCUGGCCUAAUACUGACGCUGAGGUA
rnacentral:rRNA from 1 species